rnacentral:lncRNA from 1 species
GAGAGGGGGGUGCUGCGCAUGUUAGAUCAUCAGAACUAAAAUGCAAUCAUUUAUACUUUGGGAACAAAAUGAUCUGAUCUCGAGGAUCACAUUGCGAGAAAGAGUAAAAGACUCAAAAGGGCCAGAUCGAUCAGGGGCUUGCAAGGAGAAUAACACCUUUCCUCGAGGCGCGGGCGACAGAGAAUUUCGUGAUUGUUCUACCAGUAUAGCUACCAGUCUACCACCAACCUAACAGAGGCCGGAGUGUGUGCGCUUACUCUAUCUUAGCUAUAGCUGCCGUUCUCCUUCACCCCGUACAUACAUUCCAUGGCUUCGUUGAUCCGUGAAUCCGUGAUAUAUGCCUUGCUAGCUAGGGUACCAUCCUGAUUCUGCAAUGUGCUCAAUUUUGAUGCCAGAUUCUAACAAUCAUCACCUACGGACUUGGCAAAAUGGUCACCUUUGGUCCUAGCUAGCUAGGCAAAAAUUUGGACUACUGAGCUAUGUUUGUCGGUCUGCAAUAUAUAGGGCUUACUGUGUAUACACUCAGCCACUCAGCCCCUGCGAUAGGUGUACGUUUCCGUUGCUUUUGAUCGUCGCGAGCUACUGUCUUGUCUACGCCUCCUUAAUUUAGGUGUGCAUGUCUCGUCAACCCUGCUAAUUACACUGCCCAUGAAAAAUGUCGGUGGAACCGGUAUUGAUAGAUCUGCUAGGUGCUAGCUCCGCUGAACAUUAGCACCCAAAUUGCGGCUCAUAGCUUCUUUUCUCAAAGGAUGACCGAAAUUGAAUAUGGGUGUGCUCAGCCCGACAAAAUAAUACUUUCACGAGUCCGGCAACAUACACCAAGUGAAAUGCUGAUGUGCGGUUUAUGUACUCCAGCCCACUACGGAUUGCAGUAAUCUUUUUUUUUUGACAGCAUUUUUCCUUUUUGACUGCACACUACGGAUUGUAGUACAUUCCAGUAAUUCCACAGAAUUGCAUAGUUUCCUCAACAAUUUGAGUGGCCAGAUCUUCUUUUUUUUUGAGCCAAGCCAGAUCUUUUUUCUUGUGAAAGACUGAAAGGUCUUUGUUUCCCAAGCAGGCGAGCACAGGUCAGCCCAGUGUUAUAAUUCGUUUUUUGUUUUGAGCGAAACCCAGUGUUAUAAUUCGUUGACAAGAUAUCCAGCCAUUAUGGAUUCUUUCGCGAGAAGCCCACUAUGCGUUGCAGGAGCAGAAAGAGGAGAUCAGGAGGCCCAGUUCGCCUUUUGUAAAAGAUUUUCGACCCACAUGGGCCCAUAACGGGAGGCCGGCCGGCGGCCGCUCUGGUACGUGCGAAGUGUUUAGCCCCACGUGGCCCAUCCAGUCACAAACCGGUUUAGAAGCCAACGUGCUGUUCUAAAAACAAAGAAGCCGACGUGCAGAACCCCUAAAAGAAAGCCAACGCGCAGACUAACAAAUUGGCCCAUCCACACUAUCGACUUGAAAAAUUCGGGAGAACACCGCUAAGUCAAAACAGUUCAAAUCCGAAAAAUUGAUCAAAAGUAUCCAGUUUUGCCAAUUGAACGACCAAAUAGAACCGAUUUUGAGUUGAAUACCAUUUUUAGACUUUACUACCCAAUUGAGCGACCA